UACAGAGGUCUCAAGCGUUGUUCGGAUUCAUUGGGCGUAAAGGGCGCGUAGGCGGCGGGGUAAGUCGGGUGUGAAAUCUCAGAGCUCAACUCUGAAACUGCACUCGAUACUGCUCUGCUUGAGGACUGGAGAGGAGACUGGAAUUCACGGUGUAGCAGUGAAAUGCGUAGACAUCGUGAGGAAGACCAGUGGCGAAGGCGGGUCUCUGGACAGUUCCUGACGCUGAGGCGCGAAGGCCAGGGGAGCAAACGGG
rnacentral:rRNA from 1 species